AAGGAAGUGAUUGCGUGUGGAAAUAAACAUCCACGUUUCUUCCCAAUCCCAUUUUCCACUAUGUCCCAUAUUGUUAGGAAAUAAGCUAGUGGGAGAAUUAUUAGUAACCAGUUCCUAUUCCUUUUCACACACACCCCUUUCUAUACUUUGAAGAACAAAAACAAAAUACAUAGUGAGAAAGAGAAAGAGAACGGGAAAGGGAGUCUGAAGGAGGAAAGGAAGAACAAUGAAAGAAGAGCCAAGAGAGAGCAAAGACAAUCUUGACAAAAUUAUCAUCACCAAAUGAUCGUCGAUUCGUGUUUCCUCCUUGGCGGUGACGUCAGGGAGGCAAAGUGAUAUAGUAGAAGAAGACGCUAGUGGUACAUGUUUAGAGGCUUCAUAUAUUCCGACACUGGUAUUAGCCUUGUUGAAAAAACUUUUCACAAGCAUCCACAACUUUGAUUGGCUAGGUGUAGUCUUGAGAAGGAAAAAGGUCAAGUGUCUUGUUAUUAGGGAUAAUAUAUUUUUAUGUAAAAUUCACCAUUUUGGAAAUUCAAAGAGAAUAUUAUUUAUUGUUUAUUUUAGAGUUGAUGAGUUUCACGU
rnacentral:lncRNA from 1 species